rnacentral:rRNA from 1 species
UACGAAGGGGGCUAGCGUUGCUCGGAAUUACUGGGCGUAAAGCGCACGUAGGCGGCUCUUUAAGUCGGGGGUGAAAUCCUGGAGCUCAACUCCAGAACUGCCUUCGAUACUGUAGAGCUUGAGUUCGGGAGAGGUGAGUGGAACUGCGAGUGUAGAGGUGAAAUUCGUAGAUAUUAGGAAGAACACCGGUGGCGAAGGCGGCCCACUGGAUCGGUACUGACGCUGAGGUGCGAAAGCGUGGGGAGCAAACAGG